UCCAGUGUGGUGCCCAGCCCGACUCCUGCACGGGACGCAACAGGUAGGCACGCUGCUGCUCCUGUACCACGUUAGUAGUAUAGAGAACAAGGUAUCCUGAUGGCUCGGGGUACACGUACAGCGUCACAAGCCCCAAGGGACCUGCCACCUGGUUGACUCGAAUGAAGGAAGGCGAGAGGGGAAGCAACAGACCAGACAGACAGAUGCUUGUGUGUCCUCACCACCACCACCACCACCACCACCACCACCACCACCACCACCACCAGCAUCAGCUUCAAGACAGACUAUCAACAUGACUGUUGAGUGUCUGAUCCUCCACAGAUCCUGGGAGGAGGCAAAUCGUAUGCAAGGUGAGGAAAACAAAGCUGAGAUUCACAACAGUUGAAGGACCGACUGUAAGACUGAUGGUCUGAGAAUGUUGUGUAUCAUGUAGGUGUUUGAUGGCACGAAUGAUACAUUUCGAUUUUAUGUAGUGUGUGUGUGUGUGUGUGUGUGUGUGUGUGUGUGUGUGUGUGUGUGUGUGUGUGUGUGUGUGUGUGUGUGUGUGUGUGUGUGUGUGUGUCUGUCUGUCUGUCUGUCUCUGUAUUGGCGCCCUCAUGUGUGUUGAUGUGCUCAUGCGCAGACGUCAAUAAAAUAUGUAAUAUCUGA